UGGGGAAUAUUGCACAAUGGGGGAAACCCUGAUGUAGCGACGCCGCGUGGAGGAAGAAGGUCUUCGGAUUGUAAACUCCUGUUGUUGAGGAAAAAGAGGAUGGUACUCAACAAGGAAGUGAUGGCUAACUACGUGCCAGCAGCCGCGGUAAAACGUAGGUCACAAGCGUUGUCCGGAAUUACUGGGUGUAAAGGGAGCGCAGGCGGGUAUGCUAGUUGGGAGUGAAAUACAUGGGCUCAACCCAUGAACUGCUCUCAAAACUGUGUAUCUUGAGUAGUGCAGAGGUAGGCGGAAUUCCCGGUGUAGCGGUGGAAUGCGUAGAUAUCGGGAGGAACACCAGUGGCGAAGGCGGCCUACUGGGCACCAACUGACGCUGAGGCUCGAAAGUGUGGGUAGCAAACAGGAUUAGAUACCCG
rnacentral:rRNA from 1 species